rnacentral:rRNA from 1 species
CCUACGGGAGGCAGCAGUAAGGAAUAUUGGACAAUGCUCGCAAGAGUGAUCCAGCCAUGCCGCGUGCAGGAAGACGGCCCUAUGGGUUGUAAACUGCUUUUGAACUAGAGAAAACCCUCCUACGUGUAGGAGGCUGAUAGUAUAGUUAGAAUAAGCAUCGGCUAACUUCGUGCCAGCAGCCGCGGUAAGACGAAGGAUGCAAGCGUUAUCCGGAUUCAUUGGGUUUAAAGGGAGCGUAGGUGGACUGAUAAGUCAGUGGUGAAAUCUCUCGGCUUAACCGAGAAAUUGCCAUUGAUACUGUUGGUCUUGAGUACAGUUGCUGUGGGCGGAAUAUGACAUGUAGUGGUGAAAUACAUAGAGAUGUCAUAGAACACCGAUUGCGAAGGCAGCUCACAAAGCUGUAACUGACACUGAGGCUCGAAAGUGCGGGGAUCAAACAGGAUUAGAUACCCUGGUAGUCCGCACCGUAAACGAUGAUUACUCGCUGCUGGGAGUAACUUUCAGUGGCUUAGCGAAAGCGAUAAGUAAUCCACCUGGGGAGUACGCCGGCAACGGUGAAACUCAAAGGAAUUGACGG